AGACCCGAAACCCGGUGAUCUAGCCAUGGGCAGGUUGAAGGUUGGGUAACACUAACUGGAGGACCGAACCGACUAAUGUUGAAAAAUUAGCGGAUGACUUGUGGCUGGGGGUGAAAGGCCAAUCAAACCGGGAGAUAGCUGGUUCUCCCCGAAAGCUAUUUAGGUAGCGCCUCGUGAAUUCAUCUCCGGGGGUAGAGCACUGUUUCGGCAAGGGGGUCAUCCCGACUUACCAACCCGAUGCAAACUGCGAAUACCGGAGAAUGUUAUCACGGGAGACACACGGCGGGUGCUAACGUCCGUCGUGAAGAGGGAAACAACCCAGACCGCCAGCUAAGGUCCCAAAGUCAUGGUUAAGUGGGAAACGAUGUGGGAAGGCCCAGACAGCCAGGAUGUUGGCUUAGAAGCAGCCAUCAUUUAAAGAAAGCGUAAUAGCUCACUGGUCGAGUCGGCCUGCGCGGAAGAUGUAACGGGGCUAAACCAUGCACCGAAGCUGCGGCAGCGACACUGUGUGUUGUUGGGUAGGGGAGCGUUCUGUAAGCCUGUGAAGGUGUGCUGUGAGGCAUGCUGGAGGUAUCAGAAGUGCGAAUGCUGACAUAAGUAACGAUAAAGCGGGUGAAAAGCCCGCUCGCCGGAAGACCAAGGGUUCCUGUCCAACGUUAAUCGGGGCAGGGUGAGUCGACCCCUAAGGCGAGGCCGAAAGGCGUAGUCGAUGGGAAACAGGUUAAUAUUCCUGUACUUGGUGUUACUGCGAAGGGGGGACGGAGAAGGCUAUGUUGGCCGGGCGACGGUUGUCCCGGUUUAAGCGUGUAGGCUGGUUUUCC
rnacentral:rRNA from 1 species